CUAAGUAUAAGCAAUUAUACAGCGAAACUGCGAAUGGCUCAUUAAAUCAGUUAUCGUUUAUUUGAUAGUACCUUACUACAUGGAUAACCGUGGUAAUUCUAGAGCUAAUACAUGCUGAAAACCCCGACUUCGGAAGGGGUGUAUUUAUUAGAUUAAAAACCAAUGCCCUUCGGGGCUCACUGGUGAUUCAUGAUAACUUCUCGAAUCGCACGGCCUUGCGCCGGCGAUGGUUCAUUCAAAUUUCUGCCCUAUCAACUUUCGACGGCUGGGUCUUGGCCAGCCGUGGUGACAACGGGUAACGGAGGGUUAGGGCUCGACCCCGGAGAAAACGCCUGAGAAACGGCGUUUACAUCCAAGGAAGGCAGCAGGCGCGCAAAUUACCCAAUGCCGACACGGCGAGGUAGUGACGAGAAAUACUGAUACAGGGCUCUUUUGGGUCUUGUAAUUGGAAUGAGUACAAUUUAAAUCUCUUAACGAGGAACAAUUGGAGGGCAAGUCUGGUGCCAGCAGCCGCGGUAAUUCCAGCUCCAAUAGCGUAUAUUAAAGUUGUUGCAGUUAAAAAGCUCGUAGUUGAACCUUGGGCCUGGCUGGCCGGUCCGCCUCACCGCGUGCACUGGUCCGGCCGGGCCUUUCCCUCUGGGGAGCCCCAUGCCCUUUACUGGGCGUGGCGGGGAACCAGGACUUUUACUUUGAAAAAAUUAGAGUGUUCAAAGCAGGCCUAUGCUCGAAUACAUUAGCAUGGAAUAAUAGAAUAGGACGUGUGGUUCUAUUUUGUUGGUUUCUAGGACCGCCGUAAUGAUUAAUAGGGACAGUCGGGGGCGUCAGUAUUCAAUUGUCAGAGGUGAAAUUCUUGGAUUUAUUGAAGACUAACUACUGCGAAAGCAUUCGUCAAGGAUGUUUUCAUUAAUCAGGAACGAAAGUUAGGGGAUCGAAAACGAUCAGAUACCGUUGUAGUCUUAACCAUAAACUAUGCCGACCAGGGAUCGGGCGGUGUUAUUAUUUGACCCGCUCGGCACCUUACACGAAAGUACAAGUUUCUGGGUUCU
rnacentral:rRNA from 1 species